rnacentral:lncRNA from 1 species
CCUCGAAGAUCUCUUCCGCCGUUUCGCCGUAAAACGGUGGGAAACCGGCCAGCAUUAUGUACAGAACAACGCCGGAGCUCCAAACGUCGACCUUCUCCCCGUACUCCCUUCCAGCCACCAAUUCCGGCGCCACGUAGUACGGCGUUCCGACGAGGCCGCUCAUCGUCUCGCCAUCCCCGAACGUCUCGGCCGAUCCGAAAUCGGCGAGCCGGAGCCGGUCCCGACCGUCGAACAAGAUGUUGUCCGGCUUGAUGUCCCGGUGAGCCACGCCGAGGCGGUGGCAGUGCGCGACGGCGAGCAUGAGCUGAGUCAUGACCGAGGCGGCCUCGGGCUCGGAGAAGACUCCGAGAGUGACUCGGCGGUAGAGAUCGGGCGCAUCGCAGAGGUCGAGGACCAUGUGGAGGUGGUCGUCGUCUUCGUAGAGGUCGUGGAGGUUGAUGACGUUGGGGUGCGAGGCCAAAAGCUUCAAAAUCUUCGGCUCCGUCAACAGACAUUGGGCAUCGAGCGAGUCGCCUGAGUCGGCGAUUCGCUUGUCGAUCGAUUUGACCGCGAAAACGUCGCCGUUCCUCUGGGCUUUGAAAACGACGCCGAAUCGUCCACGGCCAAGCUCCUCGCACAGCUGGUAGUCUCGCUGCAGUGCCUCACUCAUGAGUGUAACUAAUUCUGUGAUUUUCGGAGUCAAACGGGAGGUUGGGUUGGUUUCGUUGGGAUUUUAAUAGGCGCGAUGGUUACGGGAAUGUUUCGGGAGAAUAUUCGGGGUGUAAAUGGAAUCGUUCCUUCUGCGCCCGCCACGUGUUUCAUGUAGAAUCUAACGGCUGAAGAUUCGAAGUGAAUCAACGAACCUGUACCCGUGGGGUGGGUUGAAAUUACGCAAAUGCCCUUUCUUCCAAUGGAAAUGGAAAAGGAGAACGUGAUUUCCGUACUGUUGCCGUGCUUUCUAGUAAUCGGACUAGGAUUUGAAGUCCGUGUCGUACACUAUCAGGUAUUUCUUCUGCUGCUUUAUUUUUUAUUUUUUGGUUUUUUAUAAGGAUUUUCUUUGUGGUUGGUUUAGUAGUUGGAAACCUAUUCGACUCCCACCUAUAAAAGGUAAUUACAGAUUGCCACAAUUUAAGUGCGUAUCUAGACAUCGUAAUGCAUAUUAUUCAUACAAGCACUAGUGCAUGUUGGGUGAAACACUAAUUUUUCUUUUUUGUCCGCAAGCCAAUACUCUUUUUUACUGGAUUAGAUUCGGUUGAUAAUACUAUUUUUUUUUUGGUUUGAUAUAUUCAUAACAUUUGUGCAUGCCCACGCGUUUACGGGUAAUCCGUUGAUGUGCAGUGAAAAGUAUUUGUGUUUAUGAUUGGCAAUCACUUAUGUUUUGCUUAUAAGUUAUGUUUCUUUAAUAAAAGUAAAUGAGACUAAUAUUGUUUGGUGAAGUAUUAAGGAGCCUUAAUAUGUUGUUAAAAUUAGGGAAGGAAACAACCUGGAAAACUCUUUAAUUGAUGAGUACUAAUUAGUGGCAUUGACAAUUAAUAAUUCACUCGCUAAACACCAUAAAAGUGACAAGCGAAAAUGAUAAGUAACUAUGUAAUUAACACUUCAAAAACUAACUUCUGGAAAGUGAUUAGAAGAGGAUUUUCAAUGUUUAACAUGUCAUAAGAUGACUUUUUAAAGAUAAUAUCUUAUUGUUUGCCAAGAAAAAAAAACCAAAAAAACGUAUGAGAAGCGUACAGCUUAAGUGGUUAUGUGAAUAGUUUGUUAAUUUUUUUUAAAAAUAUAAUUAAGAGAAUUACAACAACAACAAAAACUAAAAUAACAAUCACAUGGACAUUAGAUAGUGGAUUCUUGGCAAUAAACUAGUGCUUGCCCAACUUUACAUAAUAACCAUGGGAUAGCGAAUUAAUAUCAAUAACUAAAUCAAAAAGUAAAGAAAAUAAUGGGGGGUAUGUAUGACACAUUUUUUGGGUUUUGUCACAUGAAAAUUCAAUAAAAAUAAAAUAAAUCAGACUCACAAAUAAAUUUUUUUUUCCUCCUACUUCUGCAAAGUCAUUGAAAUGCGACAAAGUGACUCUCGAAAAAUUUACAAAUGUACAAAUGUGAGGAUGAGGAAUCAAAUGGCCUUUGGAAGGAAGUAAAAGGUACAUUGGAAUCUUGAGAGCUACUUCUUCAAUUUCAGAGAUAUGCUUGCAGAGUUAUGCAGUACAAACCAAGGACAAUAAUUGCACAAAAGGUUAGGGGGACGAUUAUGAACUUGCGGAAGAAUACAAGCGAAUGUCCCUUUCCAAAUGGUCCACGAAAUAUGGACUCUCAAAACUUUUUCUUCUUUCUAUUUGUAUGAUGAACACUAGGGUUGCGUAUAAAAUCACUCAUAAACCACACGUAUCAAAUUAUAAAAUAAUCACAAUAUUAUAUUCAACUCGUAUUCGUGGGAGUACGGUUUUUAUUUUAUUUUUAUGCACAUGUAAAUCAUAGAGUUUGUUUUUAGUGAAGAAUGGGGUGGGGGAAUCACAAGUUUUCAAUUUCUCUCUUUUAUAGUGAGCUAGUUUCCAAAUUUAACUAUAAUUAGUCUAUCCUAAUCUCUUUUUAUAGAUGUUUAAACUUAAAGUAAUGUAGUGAACAAGUAAUGGCAUAUCAAAAUAAAUGACUGACAACUGGUGAUUAGCAUAAAUUUUCUGAUGAAUCAUUAACUCUAUCAGUAUAAGUCUUGAGGAGAACUAAAUCCUAUAAACUUUUUAUUUAUUUAUAUAUAAGCGAUAUUAGGAGAGGAUGGAAUCAAACUUAAAACCUCAUAUGCAUGAGUAAAAUGCUCUUAACUAACUAAGAUACAAACCCCUUGCCUAAACCCUACCGAAUGGUGCAAGUCAUGGGAGACAUAACACAAUCUCUUAAUUUAACGUAUUGGAUUAGUGAAGAGAUCCAAAUCAAUAGUUAGGUAAUGAGGGGGACACAUUAACAAAUACAAAUGUAUCAACCUAGACUUCCACUUCACAAGCCUUGUUUGCGUCGGACAUUAUGCCCAUAAUAUAAUGUUUAUAAAUUAUACAUAUAAUGUCAAGAAAAAACAAUUGUUUGUGCAUGCAAUGUGGCAUGCACCACUCAAUUUUCGCUUUAUUUUAUUUAUUUUUUAAGUGUAUUUAUGUGCGGUUUGUCUUAUAGGAAAUUGAGAUUAAUCGCUAUAGCCAACAGGAAUGUGUUUUACGAUUAUUUCAUGAUAAUUUAUUCUCAGCUGUCAACUCUUGACAGGCACUGCCAUGGAAGAUUUUUGUUUUAAAUUACAAAUAACAAAAGCUUGGUAUUUGAUCUUGUAUGCAUGCAUGAUGCAUUGACGGACUUUAUCUUUUUCAAGAUUCACACCAUAUUAUAUACUUGUCUUUGUAUUCUUUUACAUUCCAUCCAAAUUGUAUUGUAUAUCACAAAUCAGGUUUCUCGUUUAUAAUUUAUAAAUUUAAUAAUAAAACUCAAAGUAAAAGAUGACCCCAUUUAGGAUUACUAUUGAAAUGUGAAUAUUGAAUCCGAAAUUAAUAAUUGACAAUAAAUGGAGAGGCCGGAGAUUUUCUCAAUUCUUUCAGUUUGUAUUGAAAAGCAAGUUGUUGUUAACUUUGACUUUAAAAUAGAGUUAGCAUUUCAAAAGAAGAAAAUAAAAAAAAGAAACCUUAGUUUUGAUGGUGAUCUAUACAAGUGCACUUCAAUUCUUUGAAUCCAUAUGUACUUGGACCGAACCUAUACGCCAUAUUCAUGCCAACUUCUAAGUAGGCAGAGAAACAUUUAGCAUGCAUGCUGGCUCUAAGGUUCUGCUUUUGGCGAUUUUCUCAAGCAACUUUGUCUAACAGAAUUUUAUUUUAUUAGCAAUAUGCUAAUUAAAUAUCUGGAGUAUCUCUGGACUCUGGCUGUCAACUUCGAGAAGAUUUGUCAAGUUGCUUGUGUUUCUAUACUAUAAAGGAUGUGACAAGCUGACCCAUUUCUUAGUGAAGGAUUUGCAGCUUGUGUCUUCUAGUUAUAGAAUAAAGUUGCCUAUAUCUCUAAAAUAAUCUUCUCUGACUAGACAAUCUAACAUUUUCUAAAUGCUGGUGGGUUAUUUUACUAGACACCCAAAUCAGGGGAAAAAAAACAAAUUUACUAAUUAUCUCACAUUUCAUUGUGUUUAUUGAUCAAGGAUACUAAAAAAUGAUAUCCCCAUUGCAUGAGAGUUUAUCUCCAAAUCAGGACCAAACAGCAGAUGAAAUCAUGUCUGAAUCUGAAUGUAUCAGAUCUUUUUUAACAGAUAAAUAAGAGUUAAGGAAAAUAAAACUCAAGUGAUUGUAUCAGAUAUAUUAUUUAUUUGGCACUUGAUAAUCAAAUUUCGGAAGCUAAAUUGUAUUUUUUUUAAAUAUAAGUAAAAACCCUUCGCAGGAAAAAAAAACCACUCAGAAACCUUAAGUUAACCAUCAAGUCUCAGGCUGUCGAUCAAGUUUGGAGGAAUGUACUGAUUAAGUGAUUAUUACACAUGAAAGGAAGCAAUAGAAGUAGGAAGAACAAGAUAUUUGAGCCAUGGCUCCACUGAGGCAUAUGAUGUUUCAAAAUUUACAAAAUUUAUUACGCCAUGCCAAAUCCUUAAUAAAACUUAUGAGCGUCCUUUCUCUUACAACAACAGUACAUAGAGCAAGCAUGCACCAACAAAGUUGGGAAGUUUUCUGUUUCAAGCUUGUUAGUUCUUCAUUCUCUAUAUCUACUAUUAUGGAGGAAAAAUGGACAUCUUAUCAGCCAGUAAUCAUUUACAUGCUAUGGAUUUUACAUUCGAGUUAUUGUUGUCAUACCUAAAGGACUAUUACUCCAAAUGCAGAACCAUCCUCUUUCUUGAUGAACAGUACGGUCGCCAAUGCAUUCCGACUUAUAGGCAUUCAUCUCCCGUAGCUCCUACUCCCACAGAAGUUUGAAAUAAUUAAAUUAAAUAGUGCAAUACAAGCAAUAACAUUCAAUUGAAAUACUGGCACAGAACUAACUUUUAUAACCAUUGAAUGGUAGAAAGGAAAGUACGGAGAGAAAUUCAUCCUUUCCACAGCCCAAAACCACCCGGCUAAAACACAUACACACAAAUCUGCCUCUCUAAUUUUUUUCUGGGGAGACACAAUAAUAUGUCAACCUCACAAUUAUUGAGAUACAAGUCUGAUCUAACAGCAUUUCCAUUAACUUUUGGUGGAUUUCGUAGUCCAGAACUUUCUUUGUUUUCUUGUUCAUAUUGGUAGACAUGUUUCUGAAAGCCAAAUUCACAAAGCUCAAACAAUUUUUUGCAUGCACCAGAAAUUAAAUUUGUCAAAACUAUAGCUGAAUUGAAUAGUGAGGAGACCAACGGAAACAUGAAAAAUGAGUUAAUAUACAGUAAAAUUUCAAGCCACUUAAAGAACUGAAGAAAUUUAAUUAGUAGAAUGAACUACAGAUAGGUUUUCCAAAAUAAAUCAACAACACUAAGUCAACCUGUUCCUGCUUUCAUAUAUUGGAAUUUGGAAUGAAUUUAAACUCAAACAAUUAGUUAGUUCUUUGCUUACCAUCUUUGCUUGAACUCUGUUCCAUGUCAAUCUGUUCUUGCCAUGACUGCUUCAUGUCAGAAGAUUCACACUCCAAAAAAGAGUUGUCUUUUGAUGAGGAACAUGACUGUGGAACAGAAAAUGAAUUUCUGCUUGUUGUCUGCUUCUUAGACAUGGAAGAUUCAGCUGUAGAGCUGCAAUCUUCAUUUGUUCUCGAGGUCCCAGCUUCAUUAGGAUUGUGCAAAUUAUCUUGGAGUGGCCUUUCUUCUUCCAUAUGUUUGGAUCUCUUCCUAUUAAAUUGGUUACUCUUGGAAUUUUGACAUGUAGGCACCUUCUGAUCAUUCGAUGAGUAAGUAGGACAAGGAGCAUUAUUCUUUAAGAUCACUUUUGGGAUAGGCAAACUUUCAAUACCAUCGGAAUUGUCAACAACAACUUCAUCUGUGCCAUUUGAGUUUGCAGCCUUUGCUGCUGCUUCCAUUUCCCACAUCUUGAAUAUAGCCUUGGUCAAAUGUUCUCUAGCCAAAUCUAUCUCAAUGAAAGGUUUUGGAUAGUUAAAUCCUAACUCUACCCCCGAAACUUUAAGCACAUUAUCUGGCGCAUCCCAAGGAUGAUGGAUCCACUCAGUUGGCAGACGCGCUAACUCAGGCAGCCAAUGCCUUACAUAUUCACCCUCCGGGUCAAAUUUUGAGCCUUGAACCUGUCUCCCAAAAUUCACAUGAAUUAAAGUUAGAAUAGACUAAAAUAGGUUUAUGUUCCUCAAGAAUAAAUUUGUUGGGUUUUAGGGUAUUCAGGUAGCUGCACUUUCUUUAGCUUUCAAUUUAUAAGGUACUGAAGCAAAACACUCACCUCUGGACUGUCCAAACGCUCAAGCUCAUGGCCAUCUGGUAAGCUCCCUGAGAUAUACUGCCAACCAAGGAUAUCACUUUCCAAAUCAGCAUCCAAAAGUGUGUCCCAGAAAUACUUCAUUCCCCAUUUCCAAGGAAGAAGCAAUACUUUCACAGCAAAACUUGAUACAAUCACUCUUAUUCUGUUGUGUAUCCACCCGGUUGCCCAUAGCUCUCUCAUUCCUGCAUCAACCAAAGGGUACCCGGUCCGACCUUGUCUCCAAGCCUUAAAAUUGUUCUGGUCAGCUUGCCAAGGAAAAAAAUUCAAGUUGCUGAGCAGUGGUCUCUCAUGAGUGAAUGGAAAGUUAAAACAAAGAUACCGUGAGUAUUCUCUAAGCCCAAUGGCCCUCAGGAAAAGAGUCACACUCUCAACCCCUAUAGAGUUCCCUUCUUUUGCCCACAGUAUCUGCUUCAUUCGAGCUAACUGGAAAACUUUCCUCACACUCAGUUCUCCAAAAUGAAGAUAUGGGGACAAAAGUGAUGUAGAGUUUUGCCCAACCUUUGUCCUGUUCUUUGAAUAUUGAAGCAGGUGCAACUCAGAAAAUUCACUUAGAGCCUUAUCGGCAUUGCUCCAACCAGGAGACCAUGCUCUUGCUAAGAGGGCAUUGCUAGAUUUUUCUGUUUCAUUUUCAAGACCCAAUUCCUCAAUUGAACAUUUUGCUACAUUUCCUGUCAAAGGAAAUAAAUUCGUCUUCUUUAUUUGUUUCUUUCCCAGCAAAUACACACACACACACACACACACAAACUCAGAAAGUCGAAAUGUACCUGUUGCUGGCACCAAUUUCCAUGGAGGAAGGAGUGUGACAAGUUCCCGUUGCAUGUUUAAGGACUUGUCCCAGUAUGCCUCAAAGGUUGUAAAAGCUUGCCCUCUUGCAUCAUAUACUUCCCAUGGCUCAUUCAACAGAUCUGCAUUGUAACUUUGCACAGAAAUGCCCAGCUCCACCAGCUUUCCUUUGAUGUUGUGAUCACAAACAAGUGAAAUAGGA